CCAACUGUUAUACAAUUUUUGUUCAGUUGCUUCUUUAAUAUUUUUUGUAUUGACAAUUUUUCUGAGUAACAACUUUUUAGUAUAAUUAUUUUAAAAUGUUUUUUUUUAUUUACAUUACAACACCGACUACAAAUACAUAACAACAGACGUCGCUAUUACCAUUUAUCUAUUGUAUUACGUAUGGUCCCAUUUUUUAAUUUUUGUAUUUAUUAACUUAACAUUUUACAUAGCUAUUUUGAUAGGUGAAUUUGAUGUUGAAUUUGACUAGUGCAUCUGUAUACAAGCGAACGUAGGCAAGCAGUCAUCUAUAUACGUGUUAUAUGGUGUGUUACAUUUCAAUAUAUUACGAUAAUGUAACAGAUAUACAUCUGUGUUUGCUGUGUUAUAUUUAAUUAAGACAAAGUGGAGUUGUAUCCCUUUUGGCAUAGCAGAUUUGCUAAACAGGAAAUAAAAAUAAUGAUAAAGCCCUUAUUAGCGAUAAUAGUUGCUCUGAUGAUAGCAAUUAUGAUAAUUUUGCGAAGCAAAGACAAAGGAUGCCAGAGCUAGCUUUAACAGGAACAGAUUAUAAAGGUGUGUAAGAAAAAUUCCUUAGUUUUAUCUACCACUAAUUCUCUUUGUUAAAAUUUCUACCCGAUUUCCUUUCUUGUUGUAAAUAUUCCUAACCGUCCCGACGACCUUCAACGGUUCGAAUUGCCGGACUAAGGACUUUCAGGGAAUAUUAAUAAAGAGAGAAUCCCAAUGUCUCUGGACAAAUCACCAAACAUUUAUUAUGUUCUGCAAUUAUACAAAGCGUUUCUCGCGACUUACACUAUGAUUUCGUACCGAAAUACCGCCAAUUAUCUAACGACUCUUCCGACUCUUAUUCAACUUUUCGACAACUCUCUCAAUUGACUUCUCGAUUUCCCCGCGCUCGUGAGAGUGUGUCUUCUCUCGUCUCGAAUCGCUUUUUUAGCUUUUUCUUCCGGAUCUUCUAGAAGCUUCUCGAUGUUUCCCGAAUCGGUCUCGUUUCCGAUCCUGCGCCCUUUGUGCUCUCGAACUUGCGCACGCUCUCCACUCUACUAUCGAUAUCGGUUGCUCGCGUAAUCGAUGUAAUCGAUAAAAUUAACCUCGAUCUGACCUACUUAUGAUAGUCCACAUUUCUAACAAAUUUUUAUUUUUUCCUUUUAAUUUCACAUACAUUUCAAAGGGAGCGGUGCACUUGGACACGAUGCAUUUGGACACAGCCAAUCACAGCACCGUGUGAUUAGAGACAUUUGUAGGGUCCCUUGGAACAGCGACUUGUGAUUGGAUUGUGUCCAAUUGCCCCGUGUCCAACUGAUAUACACCCCAUUUCAAAAGCAUAAUCCAGAAACAGAAACAUCACAGGUAUGUGGGAAUAGCAACAGAUGCAACUAUAAAAAUGAUGUUAUGACCAGAUGUGAUCCUAACGUAAUUUUAGAUGUUCCUUCCACUUCUAAAUCACAAGAGACUCAAGUAUCGGAUACUUUAUAUAUGGUGUAUUCAUCUUUUGAUGAAAGUACCGAUGAAAUAAUUGGUUCUGUCAAUCAUUCAAAAAAGAAGAAAGAAAGUAAUAUUCAAAAAUAUGUACAAUCGAAAAAUCAAGACAAGAUAAUAAACAAAUAUAAGUAUAAUGAUAUUCAAAAAGAUUUACAAACAAAGAAACAAAAUGAAAUAAUAAGCAGACACGAGUACAGUGAUAAUUCAAAUUCUUGUACAGCAAUCCGACAGUCACAAAUUACACAGAAGUCACUAGCAAAUCUCUUGCAGAAAUCACCUGUCAAGAGAAAUACCGAAAGCUAUUACUAUAGUAUGUAACGAAAGAACUCUAAUGGCUGCUAUAAAUGAUUUGCGAAAUCGCAUCGACAACUUACACGCAACUGUUCUAAAAAUUUAUACCGCGACGUGUAAUCCUGUAGAAAUCUAACAACUCUGCUGGGAUUCCAACUCUUCCAUUGAUUUCCAUGGAAGAAUUUAAUAAAUGGGAAAACUUUAUAAUGGUCGAAGAGAAUAAAUUGAUAACGAUUCGUCUAUUAGUAGAGCAUGGCAAGAAUGAUUUGAAAGAUUCUGUAUAUUAUAUUAUGCGUAGAUUAAUGACAAACAAAGUUGCUGUAAACUUUAACUUAAAAGAAUGUAAUAGAAAAGGAGUACAAAUUGAGAAAAAUAAGUUUGUAGGUACCAGAACUUAUGAUCUUGUUAUUGCUGCUUUGAAGUUACACAAAAAAGAAAGAGUUGAUAGAGGCAUUGACUUUUUCUAUAAUAAAGAAACCGCAGAUUUUCAUAUUGCUAAAACUGGCUAAAAGAUGCAAAACAAGGUUUUGACAAUGAAAAAUUGAAAAAAAGGAAGGAUAGUGAGCAAGGCACAAGUUUGAGAAAUAAUGAAGAUGCAUAAAGGAAAUAUAGUUUCUACUAUAAGUACUUCAGGAAUCUUCUUUUUCAUUUUUUUUUUUUUGAUUUUUAUUUAUGAAGCCACACGAGUUUUGGUGUAAGAAACCUACCCUAGUUAUUUCAUUGAUAAAAUAAUGAGUUAUUUUUAUUUCAUUGUAUUUUUAAUAACAUUUAUUUACU